rnacentral:lncRNA from 10 species
AUGAUCUGUUUGUGGCAAAGGCAGUAGAUUUAUGGCGUUGCUGACCUUUGAUUUGUUGUCAAAGCUCUGCCUGGGGUCGUGGGGAGGUUUUCCUUUGCUUAUUUACCCAGAGUGAUUUAGGAACCUCAGUGGCAAGAGGUUUCCCAUUUCUUCCACUGUAAGACCUGACCGCAUGGCCUCUGCCAUCAGGGUUCAUACCCUGGGAGAGGCUCAGCCUCAUACUUCAUACAGAAUGGCAGCUAUCCUUUGGAUGCCCUGGGCCAUGUCAUUCGUAUUCCUUGGCCCACAAUCCUUGUUGAGAAUCCCCCGAGAGAGUCCCCAGAGCUGCGUGUCUCACUCUGCCCUGCCACCCGCUGCCUGGCCUCUUCCCACCUCCUUUUGGGCUCCUGGCCCUUCACAGCUGAGGGGCUGAGGAAGAGCGGAUGAAUUAUUAUAAUUCUGAUGAGUCAGCCUCCUUCCAGAGUCUGUGAGUGCAGCUGGGGCCUGCAGCACCUGUGGGCAGCUGGGCUGGUGUGCAAGGAAGGAGGGCUCGUGGGGUAGGUUAGCGACACUGAGCAAUCCUGGGCCUUGUUCUUUGGGCCUGUAGGUGAGGGCUGUGUACUUUUGUGUGUGGCUUUGUCUGUUCACGGCGGGAUAGAGUCUGGAGGAAACUCAGAGGUCCUGAGUGGACGCCUGUCCCGGAGGCUGAGUCACUUGCUGAAGGCACAGGGGGAGCUGGUGGCCCUGGGGCCUUUGUGUCAGUUUAGGGAUUUCUACAAAAAUAUCCUGGUUCAUUCAUUCAUUUAUCCAGCACGAUAUGUGAGGCCCCUGCUAUGUGCCCUCUGUUCUAGGACCUGGGGAAAGUCCUGCUGUCACAGAGCUCACCUUCUGGUUCAAAACAAAGCUCGGGUUCAUUGUGCACAUUCCUUCUACCCUGUUUCUGAAUCACCCCGGGAUGCUCACAACAGCCUUUGGGAUGUGCGCCAUUAAUUCCAUCUCAUAGAAGAGAAAACUGAGGUGCUGGAAGCAACUUGCCAAAGGAUUGUUAACACGUUUAAUUCCUCUUUGGUGAAUCAUCUAUUCAAGUAUUUUACCUACUUGGUGAUCAGAAUCUUGGUGUUUUUAAUUUAUUCACGGUAAGAACACUAUACCUAUUCAGAACAGCAGUCUUUUGUCUGUUUUAUCUGUUGUGAACGUUUUCCUCUGUUUGCUUUUUCAAAAUUCGGCUGUUUUGAUGUAGCGAUGCUUCCAAUUCUCCCUUUUCCAGCGCUUUCUCCAGCUCUGCCUGGCUGUGAGUGCCGGCGCGGCUCUUCUUGUCUCGCCCUCUCCCAUUGGCCAUUUUACUCUGUGCUUGAACCAUCAUUGACAGGUGGCUGCCUCUCCCUGGGAACACACCUCAGGGGCCCGCUGCCCCCAACGGCUCUACUGGAUGUCCCCCUGGCAUCGCGCUGCUCCCAUGUACCCACUGCUCUCUGUGUUCUCUAAAUCCACGAAUGCCACAGCCAUCCACGUGGCCACCCUCACCAGUCGCGGGCAACACCCCCGAUGCCCCCCCGUCCACUUUCUCACCAAACCUCCUGGUCGUUCUGCUCUCACCUGCCCGUGGCUUUGUCCCCACCGUGAGUUCUCCUGUGAAAUUCCCUCUGGAUUAUGUAAAUUCUUUUUGCCCCCC